rnacentral:rRNA from 1 species
UGACUAAGAAGCCCCGGCUAACUACGUGCCAGCAGCCGCGGUAAUACGUAGGGGGCAAGCGUUAUCCGGAUUUACUGGGUGUAAAGGGAGCGUAGACGGCAGCGCAAGUCUGGAGUGAAAUGCCGGGGCCCAACCCCGGAACUGCUCUGGAAACUGUGAAGCUGGAGUGCAGGAGAGGUAAGCGGAAUUCCUGGUGUAGCGGUGAAAUGCGUAGAUAUCAGGAGGAACACCGGCGGCGAAGGCGGCUUACUGGACUGUAACUGACGUUGAGGCUCGAAGGCGUGGGGAGCAAACAGGAUUAGAUACCCUAGUAGUCC